UUGCUUAUCGAGCGCAGUGAUGGAGUGCUUGCACUCUUUGAUAGCUUAGCGGCGGACGGGUGAGUAAUACGUAGGUAACCUGCCCUUAAGACCGGGAUAACUCACGGAAACGGGGGCUAAUACCGGAUAGGCGAUUUCCUCGCAUGAGGGAAUCGGGAAAGGCGGAGCAAUCUGCCACUUAUGGAUGGACCUACGGCGCAUUAGCUAGUUGGUGGGGUAACGGCUCACCAAGGCGACGAUGCGAACCCGACCUGAGAGGGUGAUCGCCCACAGGGGGACUGAGAAGGGCCCAAGACUCCUAGGGGGGGCAGCAGUAGGAUCCCUUCCGCAAGGGCCGCAAGCUGAACGGAGCAACGCCGGAGAGUGUUGAAGGUUUUCGGACGUAAAGUCCUGUGGAAGAAAAGAAGGCAAUGAGAGUAACUUGUUCCAAAGGGUGACGGGUACCUGAAAAGAAAAGCCCCCGGCUAAAUUACGUGCAGCGGCGGGGGAAAUUACGAAGGGGGCCAAGCGUUUGUCCGGAAAUUUUUGGGCGGAAAAGGCGCGCGCAGGGCGGUUAUUGUUAAUUUUGGGGGUUUAACCCCGGGGCCUCCACCCCCGGGUCGAAUCGGAAAACUGGGGUGAAUUGGAGGGCAAAAAAAGGAAAAUGUGGAAUCUCCCCGUGGUAGCGGUGAAAGGCAGAAGAAAUUUGGGAGGAACCCCCAGUGGCAAAGGGGACUUUUCGGGCGGGAACCUAACCCCUAAGCGCCAAAGGGGGGGAAGCAAACAGGAAUUAGAUACCCCUGCAGUCCCACGCCCGUAAACGAGGAGUGCUAGGUUUAGGGGUUUCAUUACCCUUGGGUGCCCGAAGUAUACACCAUUUAAGCAUUCCGGCCUGGGGGGUAACGGUCGCAAGACAUGAAACUCAAAGGAAUUGGACGGGGACCCCCCACAAGCGAGUGGAGUAUGUUGGUUUAAAUUCAAAAACACGCAAAAAACCUU
rnacentral:rRNA from 1 species